CAGCUUUACAGCUGUUUGGUUUGAUGUAUCAUCUCCUUAUAAGAAAAAAGUAUGACGUUGCACACUACCGGUGACUGAAAGUUUGUAUGAAAGACAGUCUUUGAGGAGUAAAUGACAGAAUCAAUUUGGACUUAUUUAUGACAGUUUGUACAGAAGGGAGUUAUUGCGGAAGUAUUGUGAGGAUACAAGAGAAGUCACAUGGUCACUUGUUGUUAAGGUGACAUGGAUUAAUUGUUCAGUGGGAUUGACUAGAAUCCAUUAACAUCUUUAAUAAAGAUUAUAGGAUACUUAAAGAAGACCUACUCUAUGUAGCUGACUUAUGAAAGGCAUUGCUGGUGUUUUUUCCUGGGAACACAAUCUAGUGUGAUGAAGUUUCAAAUGUGUCUUGUCUGUGACUGUUUGUUUCCAAGUGGAACUUAAGACUGAUAUUAUUCAACACGAAGACAGUUGGGAAUUUAGCUGCGACAGCCAGACUAACCCAGACUAGCAACUUUUUAUAUGAGUAGAUCAAAUGUGACGGAGUUUCAAAUGUGUUGGAAAUAAACUGGAAUUUUCCCUGAGUGAUUACCAAGUGGAACUUAAAAGCAGCCUUUCGUUAAUCAAUACAAAGUAGGUUUGGGAGUUUAGCUGGAUCUACCUGAAUAACCAAGCUAUGCAGUGUGUGUGCAAGUA